CCAACUGCAGCCUGCGGGACUGGGCUGAUCACCGGCUGGCCUGGGCGGUGAGUUCUAGAAGCCUACUCUUUCUAAGACGGGCGGCUCCUUCACCUCCCCCGGCACAAGCUCUGGCGCGCGCCGGCGUGCACACCAGUGCGCAGCUUGGCUAGCUCGGGGUCCACGGCCUGAUUAGAGAGUGAGCCUCUUGCGCCUGGCAGCGGACGCGGCACCGCCUAGCGCAUACUGGCCCUGUCAGGCUUGGGGUCGGUGCUCCCCUGCAGAGCCACCUCCUCAACCGGCCUCAGUUCCCUCCCCUGCCCGCUUCCCAGUGCCGCUGAAGCAUGAAUCAUAACGGCGGUGCCUGUGGAAGCCCUGGGCAGGCUCCCAAGCUCUGUGCCCAUGUUGGCAGUUAUCGAAGUUUACUUCUUACGCUGCGUGACCCUCCUUUUAAAGGCUGGGGGAAUGUUCAGAAUCACCGCCUUUGACAAACCCGACAGCUGCCUGAUGACGGGUGGUCUUGUGGGAGCAGACCCUAGGGAGAGCCGUCUCUGGGCAUCCAUUAUACAAAGGUACUGUCACUGGGGUCUGGGCUGAGUGUUGGGUCCUGGUCCCUGCCUUCAGGCAGCCCUGGGCUGUGGGAUGCAGACUAGGGAGGAGGGGGCCCAGGACUAGCUGGAGUUCCCAGGCCCUACAUCUCCCUGCAGGGUGGAGGGGAGGACCCUCCACACAGUCUAGAAAUGCAUGUGCCCUGGCCAGGGGUUCUCCCUUGCCCUCAGAUGUGAGAGAGGCAGGGAAACUGGUUGUGACAUGGUCUCUGUGCCCAAGAGGCAUGUGGGGAAGUCUUUGGGUGCUUUCUUCUCCCCCAUCAGCAGUGCCCACAACUGUGCCACUGUGGAGUGGCUCUGUCUCUGAGCUCCUGACAGGGGUCAGCUUUAGCAUCUGGUCUGAACUCAGGCUGGGCAGCCUUAAUCAGGGGGCACUGCUGUCAUAGCAGAUGCCACCAUAGACCUCUGGCCUCUGGAUACCUCUGGCAGGUAUCCAGCCGUAGCCAGGCAGAAAUCAAGCAUUCUGGGUGGUGGGCUUGCCAGCAGCAGGGUUCAAGUGGAGGACCAAGCCUCCUGUGUCAGUCCUGGGCAUUUAUAUACAUGGGAGCAGCAAAGAGCCCUGACCGGCAUGUGAAAGGUGCUGUCCAGAGAGGGGACAACCACUGUCGUUGUUAAAAAGCUCUUUUGGUCCUGGAGGGUUAAAAUGCCAAGAUCAGGACCCCUGGGUUUGCAUUUGUGUAGAAGCUCGCACACGCUGUGUUCUCCAUCAUUGGGGCGCUCGAGCCCUGCUCUGUGGCCAGUCAUCUUGUGCAGAGUGCAGGGAGGCCUGGCCUUGUGGCGCUUGCUAUUGGGGUGGACAGUGCCCACACUGAGGUGGAUGCACUGAGCACCACUGAGGCCCUGGGGCUCCUCCCCGGCCUGUGGGAAGGUUUCCAGAGGAGGUGUCCAUGUGCAUUUGAAGAAUGAGGAAGAGAGGCUGUGCUCCCUAGGGGAGGGGGCUUUUGCUCUGGAGAUGUGGGGAGCCAGAGGAGGAUCCAGGCAAAGGCUGUGGCAUUGGUCAGAUGCAGGUGUUGGAGAGAUGGCUCCUCCCCUGGCAGCUGCCCCCCACCCCCAGAUCAGGGCUCUUGUCUUGAGAAGCGUUUUGGAGGAUACAUAGGGCUGUGGGGAGGUCCAUCCGGGCCCUGGCUCCACGGGCAGCCUUGUGUUUGCAGGCGGUGGCAGCCAGCACAGGCAUUCGCAGGAGAAGGGGCAGAGCAAGACCUGGGCCUGAAGCCAGCAGGACUUCACGCUGCUCAGGCAGCAGCUCGCAAGGCCAGGUCAGCCGAGGGCGCUUGGAGUGCCCAGCCUGUGAGUGGCCCAGCCCUGGGCAGAGACACUGACUUCCUGUUGCCUGAUGCUGCUGACCACGUCUCCUAAAAUGCAGAGGAGGGGCCAUCCAAGGGCUGCGAGGCAGAGGGCACCAAGCUCUCCCCUUGGGAGCCCUGGGCUGUGCUGGGGCUGCAUGGUACAUGGCCUUCCUGGUGCCGAGGCCCCAGGAGGAUGCUGUUUGCAAGGGAGCUAGAGAAGCCUCUUUGUCCAGAUGUUGAAAAUUUGGCUUGUCAGACUGCUCCAGAUGUCUGCAGCCAGCCAAUGGCGUGGGCCCAGAAAGAUGGCUGUCCUGUGAGUGGUUGGCGACCAGGCCCAGGCUGGGCUUGAGUGAGGUGGGAGAAUGCUGUGGGGGUCGGCUGCCCUGGUGGGUGGGUCUGUGCACACGUGCGUGGGAGCAUGUCAGGAGGGGGCAGGUGCCUCCCAGGGGAAAAGCUGCAUGGAGCUGGAGAUGCUGGGACUGCAGAGACAGAGCUCAUCCCACCCCAGAAGAGCAGGUUGGUCCCUCCAGGGCCACACAGCCACAGCUGCCUUGCCGGGGCCAGGGCCACCCUGGGUGCUGUGCACCAUACCUCAUGAGCAGCCUUGGCAUGUGCAGAGGGGAGCUGGUCCUGAACUACCUUGGCUUGCUCAGGUGUGCAUGCCCACACACACCUCUUAUAUGCGUGUGUGUCCACACUUGCAUACAUGUAUCCCCGAGUAUCUGUGUCCUGUGUGUACAUGUUCACGUUCAUGUGCAUGCAAACACAAACACCCUGCGUGCACACGUCCACACACUGUGCAUAAAGUACUGCAUGCAUGUCUGUACGUGCCCCUCAUGUGCAGUGUACCACAUAUGUGCCCAAGUGCACAUGUAAUGUAUGCAUAGGUAUAUGCAUUCAAGUGUAUGUACAUGUGCGUGCACAUUUGCAUGGUUACAGUGCACAAGUCUACUCAUACAUGUGAGUGUGCACACUAGCAUGCACAAGCACAGUCUACUGUGUGUACACACAUGCACACCUAUAUGCACCACACUGCACGUGCCCACUGCUGCAGGCAGACUCCAGGGUAGGGCUGAGCUCUGCGCUGUCUCCUAGGCCUGCUCACUGUCACCUGGCUCUUUCAGACAGCUCCUCAGCCCUUGCGCUCUAGGCUGUCUGUCACUGCCUCAUGGCCUCUGGACAUUGGUGCAUGCUGUUCACAGGGCUCAGCCACACUUGGCCCCGUCUGUCCCUGGGCUCUUCCUUCAAGGAAAGUUGCACAAGGUUCCUCCUCCAGGAAGCCUCCCUGGUGGCCCUGGCUGGAUCUGGGCUCCUUUGCUGUCCUCCUACACGCCGCUCCGAAGCUCAGUUAAAGUGUGGUGAUGGCGGUGCCAAGGGCAAGGCUGAGAGUGCCUGUCCUCCAGCCUCAGUCGUGCUAGAUGCCCUCUGGGUGCAGGCGGCCCAGGAGAGAACAGGCCUCCACCUGGCAGCUUCCAGUGCAGACCCUGGCAUCCCACACCCCACAGCCCUUUCCGCCUGGUUUUUGGGCCUCUGGAGCCACCAGGUGUGAACUUAAACCCCGGUCACUCUGUACGCGCUGCCCAGCAGGCCAUGCGCCUCUUGCCUUCCUGGGCUCAGUUUCCCCGUCUGUGGGAAGGAGGCCUCAGGCCAGGUAGUUCGAGGUCCACACUGGCCCUGAGUGUCCUCCUCUUCCUGCACGUGGCCAUGAGCUCCCAGCUGGGGGUCAUGGCUGCCUGUCCCUCUGUGUCCUCACAGGUGCCUGCAAGGUCAGGGGAGACCCCUGUCUCUUGAGCCCGGCUGGUGCUGGGGCAAGGGGAGCUGCCGUCUUCUUGACUGCACGCCAAGGGAACGGUUUUCUCCUGUGAGCCAGGCUGAGCACUUUCCCUUAGGUUUAUGUGAAAUUUCAUUUUUAAAGAUGAGGCAGGAAAAAAAAAAUGAGGCUUGCUUUUCUCCCCUCCCCUCCCAGAAGAUUUCCAGAAACCAAUCUGUCUUGUCAGAAUGUGGCAGGAUCCGCGGCCCGGCCGGCUUCGUGCACCGGCCCGCAGACCGAAUCCAUUGCAUAUUGAUCAGCGGUGAUGGGUUUGGCACAGCUGAGUUCCGACAGCAGGCUGAGGCCCUCUGGAGGGAGGGCCACUCCUGGGACUGGCUCAGAUGGGCAAGGAGCGUAAUGGAUCAGAGCGGAGGGCUGGCGGCUCUCGCCAAGGACCUGCUGAGGACCUCAAGACUGGCUCCCACCCACCUCUGCUGUCCUGGCUGCCCCACUCUGGCCUCCAGGCCGCCCCUGCAGUCUGCACCAGUUGGGCCUGGCCCCUUCCUUAGAGAUCUGCCGCUGCCCCAGGCACCGGAGCCUGGCAUCCAAGACCCUCGAAGGCCUCCACCAUAGCCUCCGUUCAUUCCCUCUCCAUCCAAUCCAGACGUUGCAGAGCAUGGUCUGUGGGUCUGCCCUGAAGCACGGCUGUGACUCUGCUCUCCCACCUCCUGGGGGCCUGGGGGACUGCUGGGCUGGGCUGGGCCUGACUCGGUCUGAUGAGCUUGGCUACUCGGCCUUGGGAAGCCACCUUUUUUCUAGCUUCUUGGCUGCUGUGCAAUCUCUGCAGAAAGGUUCUUUGGCCUGGGUCCUGCUCACUGUAGAGGAUGCAGGAGGGAGGCCAUGUUGCCCAGGCCCAGACAAUGACCUCCCUGAUGACAGGCAAGAAAUGUGCAAAAAGGCCAUUGCUUUCUUUCCUGCUUGGUCAUGUGUAAAGAUGUGAUGUCAGGCUCUGCAGCAGCUGUUGUAUGAUCAGGAGGAGAAUGAAAAGUGAGAAUGAAAGCCACAAAAGAAGAAGCUGUGUCCCUAAUGCCUUUGUUUCUGGGCCUCCAUGAACCCCCCCUGAGUCACCCUCUGGCUAGAUGUCUUCCUGCUCAGGGAGUCAUGAGACAGUUUUAUUAUCAAGGCCAUCAGCAUUCUGUCACUAUCUCCAACACCAUCUCCAUCACCUCCAUCACCAUCUCCACAUCCAUCACCUUCAUCACCACCAUCACCAUCGUGAGCACCAGUCGCCAUCAGCGCCCUCACCCUCAGUGCUGUUCCUUGUGUCUGGUCCUGGGUGACGUGUGGGUCUUCACAAUGUCCCUCCAACCAUUCCCUGUCCUCUGCCUGCACAUCCAGGUGACAGGGAGUUUGCUGCUUUUGCAGUUGGCCACUUUUUCUUAGGUGGCUCUGAUUUCAACAGAGCACAGAGCCUGCACCUGUCUGUCCUAGGCCUCCUCCUGGGCUUGGGAUCCCAGACCAGUCAGCCGUGCACACGGCCACGGGAGCCCGAGAGGUGCCCAUACGAGCACCCUGGAGAGGUGCUUCCCCCAGCCUCGACCGCAGUGGCUUCCUCAGGUGGGCGGGACAUAGCCGACUCCCCACUGUUCCCCGCGCUGUUCCUCUCCGCCUCAGCCAGGCUGCGGGUCUCGGGCCCCUCGGGUGCGCAUCCCCCACUCCACUGCCCACCUUCCACAGGGCGAGGUUCCCAGGCCCUCCCAGGUCUCCAGAGGAGACCCCAGGACUGUGGGGAAGCCUAGCGGUCUCUGGAAGCGUCUGGUUUCGGGUCGCCUCCCGUGAGGUGCCCAGGAGGGGGGUGAAUGCAUCCUAAGUGAUUUGCUGUCCACAGCCCAAGUCUACCUCCUCUGCAAAGUACCAUGAUUGUCACAAUAAUUGCCAUCAGCAUUCUGGUGGCCAGGACUUCGGGCUGCAGCCUCUGCCCCACCCAAACCCUGCUGCCCAUCUCAGACUCCUAGAUCCUCCCUGGUGCCAGGCUUCCUUCACCAAGUGGUCUCCCUGAGGACCCCCGUUAACCACACUUCCCCAGACCGGUGUGGCCAGGCACCCAGUGUGGGCCACCCUUCGUGUCCUGGCCAGAGACGCCUUCCCAGCCUGCUUUGCAGGUGAGUCAGUCGAGGCCUAUGACACCCAAGGCCAGCCUUGCCCAAGCCACCGGCUUUCAGCUGCAGCUUUGCUGAGCACCAAGUAUAUGGGGCUCUAAAGGGGCCUCAGGGAGGCAGAGCCUGUCCCCAGCGUGGCCACUCAUGAUGGAAGCUAAGGAUAUGGCCUGUUCUCACGCCCCAACCGGGACACAGGCUGGACCUCAGGGAGGGCAGUGUGGGGUGCCUUGCAUCUCACCUGUCCCCCCUGAGAACCAGGGGUGCUCCUGGGGGGGACGCUUCUAAAUGGAACUGACUGCUUGUCCACCAUGUGUGCGUGGAGUGACCAUAGCCCACAAGUGCUUUGGAGUGAGAAGGAGCUUUGGGUUCUUUGUUUUGUUUGGCUGUAGGGUUUUUUAAAUCGGAAAAUGCCAAAGGGCCUUAACAUGUUUGGAAAAAUAAGAGUGCUCACGUUCGUGCUGACCCUGGACGCACCCUCUGGCUUCCUGUGUCCAUCCUGUCCCAAGUACUUCAGGCGGGAAGAGGUAGGGGUGCAGGCAGAGCUGCCCGUGGUCCUGGAAUGUUUGGGUUGGAUCCCAGGCACCUGGAGCCAUGCUCAGCAAGAUUGGCUGUGUUUUCUUCUCAAGUUUUCCUUUCCCAGAAGCCGUGAGAAGAAAACAGAGCUGGCCCAGUUUAAGUCUCUGAUUUCAACUGCAGAUCUGUCCUGGGUUCUGUUCCAGAACAGCACCAGUCUGGCACUCAGAAUCCUAAGUCAGGGUACAGGUGCUGCUGCUGUGACAAAAAGACCCCACGUGUUGGCUUAAGCCAGAUGGAGUUUUUUUCUCUCACACACAAGUCCUGAUAGGACCCGCCCAAGACCCUGUGGGGCUGAGGAUCUGGGGCCCCCCAUCUCUUCCCUUGACUGUCCAAGGUGGGCAUCCUGCCCUGGAGGUCUCGGGGUUUCUCCAGGCCUGGCCAUGGCAUCACAUUUACAUCCCUACAGUGGGACGGCAGGCCACAUCCCCCAUCACAGGUGCUCCACCUGGAACCUGCCUCUGCUGGCCCUCCCUUGGUCAGAACGUGGUCACGUGGCUGUACCUGCUGCAGGAAGCCAGAGGUAUACUGUUUUUGUGGCAGCCAUAGUCCAAGGUCAGUGUUCCAUUACCAGAGAACAGGGCUGCUCGUCUCGGCAUGGCUGACAUUUGGGGCUGGAGACUGCUGUGGGGGCGCCUGUCCCAUGCAUUGUAGGGUGAUUAGCACCUCCCCCGCCAAAACCCACCAGUGCCAGGAGCACUUCUCAUAGUGACAACCAAAGAUGUCCUCAGACAUUGCAGAAUCCCUGGGGGCAAGAUCACUCCCCUCCAGCCAGAUCAAGGACCAGGACUCUGGUGCACACAGCGCCAGACAGGAGGGCGUGCGAGGUGGCCGGUGGACGCAGGCGGCACACCCGUCAGAGAGCCGCCUGCUCAGCCCGGCCUGCCACUUCAGCUGCUGGAAGAGAGACAGAGACCCGGAUUGUCAUGUGCUCACUGGCGGCACCUGAUGAACAGAGAGAAAGCUGUGUGGGUGUCACGGGUGGCACUGAAUUCCCCCACUGAAGAAGGAGACAUCCAUGUCCUAACGUCCCGAACCUGUGAAGGCCAUUAUUUGGAAACAGGGUCUUUGCAGAGGUGAUCUAGUUAAAUGAGGUCACCCUGGAUUAGGGUGGGCCCAAAUUCUGUGUAACUGGGGCCCUUAUUGGACACACAAACAAGGAGCCCGCGAGGAGACCCCAGCACCGGCCACAGCUGUGUCGCCGUAGCCAAGGACGCCUGGGCUCAGAGCUGCGAGGAAGCGCCUUCCUUAGAACCAUCAGGGGGAGCACCCCCUGCCCCUCUGGGCAUCCAGGGCUUCCUGGGCUGUGAGAGGACAUUUCUAUUGUUUUCAGCCACAAAUCGAAUGUGGGUACCGGGUGACCUGCUGCUGAGUGGAGGCCACCCCUUGGGUCGCUCGAUCAAUUGCACGUGCACGAAGUGGCGGUGAUGUGUGGCAAAGGGCCGAGUGUGGCACUCUGCGGAGCACAGGCUCUGCUGCAGAGGGGUGACGCUGGGGCCAGGCGCAGGAGGCUUCUGGUCUAUGCUGAUGGCGCGAGAGCCAGCUGGGGUUUGAGCCCAGCUCCUGGGCUGCGCAGCCCCCAGGUCUCCCCACUGUGCUCUCCUCCACCCCGAGCUCCGGGCUUACCUCCAUCUGGUGCCGUGACCUUUGCCACAUCCCAGGACUCAAGCUUGUCCCACUGACAAAUGAGGGUGCUGGCUCUGAUGUCCUGAGGCCCUCCCAGCUCUGAGACCCUAAUUAGGCAAAGCUGGUUGACAUGACUGUGCUGUGAGCCAUUGUCAUGCAGGAACAGGGAGCCUAGGUGCCUGGAGAUAAAACAAAGGAUUAAGUAGCUGGCAUCAGACUCCGGUAUUAUACUUAGAGCAACUAUUUAAAAACCAAAGUACUUUUCCCUGUAGCAUUCCUCAGAAUUGCCCUGGGAAACCGUGUUUGACUUGAACAAAGGGUUUGUAUCGACAGGACAUGUUAUCGUUCAAUUUCUAGGAAAGGGCGGUAAUUAGAUGCCUCAUUCCAGAUAUUGUUUCAAUUACAGCAGAAAAAAAAUACAUGAAUCCUGCACAGAGGCAAAUACCUGCUUCUCAUUACCGAGGAGGCGCGCCUCCCGACUUUGGAGGGCUCACAGGAAGCCCCCGCGGCCUUGGGCUAGGGCCACCCCUGCCCUCCGCCAGGAGGGGGCCCAUGUGCGAGGGUCCUUGGGUGAAGUCCAGGCAUUUGGAAAUGUGAAGUUCGUGUCCAGGAGGGGGCGCCCUUCCCAGGCCCCACCCAACAGGGUGGCGGAGGCAGACAGAAGGUCCUCCACCACGUCCCCAAGAGGCUCAGGUGUCACCCUCUCCCACCCAGGGAACGGGGACACAGGACCUGCUGGCCCCGCAAGGGGUGGUCCCACAGCACUCCUCCUCCUGCCCUGGCCAUGCCAGGAGGGUCGCUGUGGGACUCGGGAGGGAAAGUACUGUGCACCCGCCCCAGCCAGCAUUGGCCAAGCUCCUGCUCCGGGACACAGGUGGCUGGGCCCAGCUGCCGGUGCCACCUUGUGCUUGGGGAGGAGGACACCUAGCUUGGCAGGAGGGGACAUGGCAGGACGGGACGGGGACAAGUUUGCUUGUGCUCCUUUUCUGGGCACCCCUGCACCUAGGGCACUGCUGGACCCCUCCUGCUCAACAUGGCCCCAGGGUCAACCCCAAGGGCACAGGCAGCUUCCUCUGGUGGAAGCCACUCUCCUUCAGCGGCCCCAGCUCGCCUGCCCAGGUCACUCUCCAUGGGCCUCCAAGUCCACCCUGCAUCCCUAGUGGUCUGGGUGGGCCUUGGGGCCCUGGCUCUGGCAGAGCCUGCAGUGUGGGGAGGUGGGCGUUGCUCUCCUGGCCCUCUCCCUGCCAGCCCAGGUGCUGACAGGGCCUCAUCCGACUCUGAAGGCCACAGCCCUGUCCAGCAGGGACUCCAGCCUUGCUCCAGGCCCCCAGGCCCAAGAGGUCCUGGCUGCACUGCUGCGGCCCUGUGGGCCCCUCUGUGCAGCAGCCUCACGGCCUCUCCCAGGAAGCACGCUGAGGGUGGCGUCCACUCCUGCUCACUCAGCAAACUCCACCCUGAGGGUGUGGGGUGGGGGCCCACGAAGGGCCCUCCAGGGUGGAAACCCAGCCCCGGCUUUGGCUCCCCCUCUCACGGCAGCUGUGGACUGAACUGAGGGCCUGUGUGCAGACUUCAGUCCACGAUGCCUGCGUCCCAGGGGCAUGGAGGAGGUGACUCCCUGACCACCUGUACCGCCCCCAGCUGCCCUUCAGCUCAGCUGAUUAUGAAUCCUGCAGCAGGAGACUGGCGCGGGGGAGCUUCCCACCUGACUGGCCUGCGCACGGGGCAGUGGCCCGAGCACGUGCUGUUAAAUAAACAGUAAAUGGAAGGCUGCUCCUCUGGGGUGGGCCGCGGGGAAUGGGGGGCUGCAGGCGCACCUCUGCAUCUGUGCCCAACUCCGUGUGGCAUUUCCGCUCAUGGCUGAGCCUUCGUGGUGCCCGGCCUGCCGGCUGCCCAUAGGCCCCUGUCAUGUUACUCUCUGGCCAAGUCUGGACCUGCCCUUGAAGCUCCUGAGGAAGCCACAGAGACAGUGGCACAUUGGGGGCUGCCCACAAGUAGGACCCUCCCAAGCAGCAGCCCCCGAAGGCAGACAUGGGCCCAGGUGAGAGGACCAGUGGCAGCUUGUGGCUUCUCUGUCUUCCCCUCCGUCUCCCAGGCCAACCUGGCCAGUGUGCCUCCCCAUCAGGUCUCUGUGGGUCCCCGCCAGUGAGGAGCGCUAAUGUGAGGCCUGGGGUGGACGGCCCUUGGCCAAGGGUGGGAAGGUGAGUGGUGCGAUCCGUGGUGUCCCCUGCUCUGAGCAAAGGUCCACAUUCUGUGUUUAGCCGGGAAAUGAGCAGGGAGUCAGAGACCAGCUAGACAGAGUUGCAAAGCCAGACCAGGGAAAAGGACAGGGUAGCACAUGGCAAGAGCCCUUUUAAAAGGUUUCCAAUGGGCAGGGCUGAGUGGACCGCACACACAGAGGACGUGGCUCUGGAGGGUGCCCAGGGCAGUCUCAGCAGGGGCCAAGGGCCAUGUUCCCUGCUUGGCAUGUGGAAGGGAGGCAGGGUGGACGGCGUCCAGGCCAGCACUGGAGGCUGGUCCCUGUGAGAGGCCAGCCUUGGUGGGGGUUCACCCAGUGUCAAAGCCAGGUGUGGCAGGAACUGAUUCUGCCUGGUCACUAUCCAGCCCAGGACCCACGGGCCGCUCAGUCUCAACGUCUACAGAGAGAUUCCUCGGGAUGGGGUGCACCCAUGCAGGCUUUGGAGAGCCCAUGCCCUUGCCUCAUUAUGCCAUUAGAAGUGGGUAUCCAUGGAAACCAUGUAGUCGGGCACUCGACAGAGAAUAUUUAUUCAAUUAGAGGGGCCUGGGGUGCCAGGGAGACCUUGGCUCUGGCCCUGAUUACAGCAGGACCUCUGGGGGGACCCAUGCUAGCCUGGACCUCCGUGACCUGAUAGCCUUCCAAGGUCGCCCACUGAGCUGGUCCCUGCUGACCUGUGCCGUGGAGCUGAGGACCAGGAAGGGCAGUCAGAGUGGAACAUAGACCAGCAGGGGGGCUGGGGCGUGCAGCAGGACACUGAGACUCUCCUGCCCCCCGGGCUGGCCCACCUGCGAUGGGGCAGCUGGAGGCCUGUGGGGCUGCCAAGCCUGGCGCACAGUAGGCGCCCCACAGGUGCUCCCUCUAGUUGGAAAGACCUCGUGAGCCGAGGACGAUCCCAGGCAGCACUGGGUGAGGGCGUGUUCCUGUCCAAGCUGCAUCAGGUGGCGGCUGCCUCGUGACUCCAAGCCCUCACUGUGCACACCGCCUGCUCACCUGUGCCGCCCGCGGAUGGGCAUGCCAGUGGGUGCCCAGCCUAGUGGGGGGUGGGGUGCAGUAUAUCAAAACCUCAGGCUGGCCGGGGUCCACUGUGUGCGGGGCGGGGCUCCUGCCCAGGGCCUUACUGUGCCACGGCUGUGCAGGGGCUGUGCCUGGUAGGCCUGCCUGUCUGGUUUCAACCAAGUGCGCGCGCUUGAGUGUGAAUCUGUGUGUGUGUGUGUGUGCGCGCGCGUGUGGAGGGCAGCCUUGAGCCCUGUCUGAGCUUCGGAGGGGACAGUGUCCAGGAGCAGUUACCCAGACUAGGUCAGGGGCCUUGGUGAUGGCACGGGGUGGCCCCCUUCCAGCUGCAACCCAUUUCCAGGAAUGAGGCUCCCUGCCCGGGAUGUGUGCUUGACACUUGCUCCUGGGAACGCCUGGUGGGGAACAUCCCCUUCAAAUCGGGUCUUCAGUAGGAAGUGCUCCUGGGGGCCCGGAGGAGGCCACCGACACGUCCAGACUCAGCUGCUGCGGAGGAGCAGGUCCUGCUCGCAGGGAGUCCUGGCUCUGCCGGGUUCCUUGCCUGCAGCGCCUCAUUCCACGUGAAAGGUGGGGCCGCUCUGGAAGUACGCAGUGCGUGGGUCAGGAGGAGCAGCUGCUGUCCCACGAGGGUCCCCUGUCCGGGCACACUGGUAGGUCUGUCCUCACGGCUUCAGCGUGGGAGAGGCAUCAGGCCCGUCCCAUGCCAGCCGGCCCGGUCUCCUCAGCGCCGUGGCUCGGGACAGAGGCGAACGGCCUGGGAAAGCUCCCUUCUGCAGACUCUCAGGAGGAGGUGAGGUGAGAAGAGCACCCUCCCCCACUGGGGGUUGGAGGGCACCUGCCCAGGCGCCUGGCACCCAGCUGCCCUCUUGAGAGGUGGUCAAGGGCAGCGACUGGCCUCCAGAUGCACACGGCCACAAAGCAUAGCAUGGGUUCCACCAAGGGGCACAAGGCAGGCAGCCCUGACGUCUCCCCAGCACCUCCCCACCCGAAUCUCUGCUCCAGGAGUUAACAGGUACCUACCUCACCUCCUGCCCCACCUCAAGCACCAGGGGUGCAGCCUGCCAUGCUGGGGACCCUGUGACAGGAAACAGGUCGGACACCCUCGGGACGUGCUUGUCUUGUCGGGGUAAGUGGAGUUUCAGGGAACUGAAAUCACAUCCGUGUUCGGUGGCCAGGAAAGGAAGGGUGCGUCUCAGAUGGCAAAGCCACUUUCCAGAGGCUUACAGAGUGCUGCAGGGGACCAUCGUCACAGACAGCUGAGACACGGGGACAGAGUCCUGCUCUUCCUAAGGGGCUCACAGCACCUGGGGCACUCACCACAGAGGGCACCUGAGUCCUCUCCCUCAGUGUGGGGGCCCGGAGCCCAGCUCAGGGCCCCAGGACAUGCCUUGCUGACCCCCCAUGCGCCUCCUGCCCCUGGGAACACGAACCAGCACAAUGAUUGGAUUCCAGGUGGGGGAGUGAAUGGGGAGCCCAGGGGACCACACUUGGGGAUAGGAAGCACUCCUCUCAGGAGCCAACAGGGGCACCAGUGUGCCCUCCGUCUCUAACAGUCCUACGACGUGCACACAUGGCCAUAGCCCUGUCCUGAAAGCAGACCCAGCACAUCCCUUGGGAGCUGUCCCUGCUGGUCUGCAAGUCCCCAGCCUUCAGGAGUAAGCACUGCCGCAAACCCAACCUGACAGCUCCGAGACACAAAGGUCACUGAACACCAGGAAGCGGCCCUCCGGGGCCCAGAGUGACCAACACAACCUGCUAUGAAGCAGCCACAGAUAUGCUAAAGCAGAACCAGCAAGACCUGUGGAGGGGCAGCCGUGACGGACAGAGACCAAGAGGGUGGUGCGGAAGACCAGAGGGGGAAGGGAAUGAGGAGCUGACCACGUCCAUCCGUCAUUCUGUCUUUUGCCUUGGGAAGACCAGGCCCUGGAGGCCAGGGGAAGUUGUUUCUCCCACUCUUCCAAAGAGACUUGGAAGGCUGGGUCAACCUGGGCCUUUCCUCCUAGAGUCCCAGGUCAGAGCCCGAGGCCUCCCACCUCCACCUGGCCCUGAGUCCCACCCUCCCUCCUGGAACUGGGAGCACUCUCCCAUCCUGCCUUCCCUGUGGAAAGACCCUGGGCCCGUGGCCCACCCUCCCUCUCUGUACCCAUCCGGAAGGCCAGUGCCCAGGCCCCUAUGCUGGGAAGCUACAGGGCAGCCCCAGGACGAGGUGCCACCAAGCCUGCCGCCAGCCCGCCGGAUGACCUGGGGCAGGUGCUUCCGUGUCUCCGUCCCCCCACAGGAACGAUGCCACGUGGCAGUGUUGUGAGGACCUCGCCAACGGCACAAUGGGCCUGAGGAUCCCUGAGUCCUGUCCCUCCCCCCAGCUCCAGCCCCUGGAGACCCAGAGCUCUCAGCUUCCCGGGUCCGAGCACCUAGCGUGGUGCCCAGCAUACCGCAGGUCGCAUGGAUUGCUUGUUCAAUGAAUGUUCUAGAACAGGAGUGGGCAGCACGGGGCUGCUGCUGGUGCUUAAGUAAGGGUUUAUUGGACACAGCAGUGCAUAUGGCCUCUGGCUGUCCUCCUGGGACAGGGUGGAGCUGAGCGGCUACAGCGGGGACCCACGGAUCCCCACGCUGAGCACAUGACUGCCUGGGCCAGGUGCAAGAUGAGACGGCAUCAGUGGGGGUGACAGGGGACAUCUGCUUCCCUGUUUGCCUCUCAGCAACAGCUAGAGCAGGUCUGUAUCUCAGUUUCCCUGUCUGUUCAAAGAUGGGGCGGAUCAAUAGUCCCUAAUUUUCCUCCUGGGUUUAAAUCAACAGCAACUACUUAAGAGGGAUUUUGUUGAAUUCUACUUGACUCACAAGGAAUGAUGUAAGGAAAGAAAGUAACUUCAGGAGGACUCAGGAGGCUGGAGCCCGUGCACACCCUGCCAGAGCGUCCGACGGCUCAGGCCACGUGGAGAGCACGCUGAGCUUCCUCAAGAAAGUCAAAAGGAAUGGGUUUGUCUCUGAGAGGGCGUGUCCAGGGUGCACGAGGCCUGGGUUCCCGCCCAGCACCUUGGGCACGCACACACACAACUUGAAAAUAGAUUUGCUGUCAUAUCCAGCAAUCCCACUUUUAAAAAAGUAGAGAAGGAUACAUGACCACAGGGAAGGACCUUGAGGACAUGAUGCUGGGUGAAAUAGGCCAGUUGCCUUUAAAGGGUCAGUACUGUUGGGGUCCACAGUAAGAGAAUGGCAUGCUGAUUGCCAGGGGUGCAGGUGGAAGGCAGACAGUUCUGGGGAGGAUGGGACGAUGGCCUUACAGCAAUGCGCAUGUGCUCACUGCUGACCAGAAGGGGCGUGAGAUUUUGUGUUGCACAUAUUUUGUUACAAUUAACAAUUCUUUAAGAGGCGAGGGCCAGGUGACGCUCUCCUGGCUCCAGUGCGCUCUGGUUCUGGCCUCACUGGCCUCAGCAGGGCUGCCAAGGGCCCGGGUGCCUGUGGGACAGGGGACAGCUCCUGAGCUGUCCCACAGAGAAAGCAGGUAAUGGUUAGUGUGAGCGACCGCGGCCCCGUGGCUCUGUGCCCAUGGCCAGGCUCCUUGGGGAUGCUCUGUGCACGGAUCCAGCCACACAGGGCCGGGCUGGGCGCCUGCCUCUGCAUGCUCUCCACACCUCUGUCUGCCUGGCAGCCCCUGCCACCGCCCAGGUCCCCAGCUCCGAGAGCCUCGGGCCGGUGGCCGGGAGUGUGCAUUCUGACUGAGCUGCCGGGAUGCUGACCCACAUGGGCCGAGGACCUCGGCAGAGAAACUGCUCUAGAAUUCCAGAGAUUGUAAUCAUCUGAUUUCACUUCUUCCAAAAUAGGUCUGACGACCCCUCCACAACCUGGCAGUCUCAGGGAGGCAGUUUACGGAACGUGGAUUCUGCCCAUCGUCGGUCCUCUGAACUGCUGUGGAGCUCCCACAGGCCGGGGAGGCUGCUCAGCGCCCGCACACGGGUGUGUCCUCUCCGCAGAUCAUCCCCCCUGUUACCCCCUGUGCCUGCGCAGCUGGCCCUGUGCCUCCCAGGGUUCUGGAGAGGCACAGUGGGACAUGUGCUGGCUGCCCUACGAGAUUCUGCGGACAGCAGAGGUUUGCCGGGACCAGGUCUGCUCCACGCUGUGUGGACCCCAGGGCUUUUGUUGGUUUUAAAAAACAUUUUGUUUAGGAAUAGCUUCAAGCUAUGGAAAGCUACAAAAAUAAACACCAGACACCUUUUACUUAUA
rnacentral:lncRNA from 1 species